rnacentral:lncRNA from 1 species
CCAUAUAGGUUAUUAUAGGCUCUUGAGUAGGUUUCCCCGUGCUCUACGGUAGGUCCUUGUUAGUUUUCUAUUUCAUACACAGUAAUGUGUGUGUGUUAUUCCCAUUCUCCUGAUUAUUAUUCUUUUUGUGUGUAAAACACAUAAUACCGUCCAUAAAAAAAUACACCAGGAGUUCCCGUCGUGGCGCAGUGGUUAACGAAUCCGACUAGGAACCAUGAGGUUGCGGGUUCGGUCCCUGCCCUUGCUCAGUGGGUUAACGAUCCGGCGUUGCCGUGAGCUGUGGUGUAGGUUGCAGACGCGGCUCGGAUCCCGCGUUGCUGUGGCUCUGGCGUAGGCUGGUAGCUACAGCUCCGAUUCAACCCCUAGCCUGGGAACCUCCAUAUGCCAAGGGAGCGGCCCAAGAAAUAGCAACAACAACAAAAGACAAAAGACAAAAAAAAAAAAAAAAAAUACGCCAUAUAAAAUUUCAUCAUGGGGGAGGUGAAAAAUAUAUCUAAAAAUGCUUGAUUUUAGGGUGCAGAUAAUAGAAAGAGGUUAAGAAUAUGUAAGAAACUGCUUUUUUUUUUUUUAUCACGUUUGCUUCUUCUUUGACAGUCGUUACUUUGUAUCAUCCUAUGAUUCUGUUACAAGGUGGAAAACCAUGGCUCUGAAACCCAGCCUCUGGCACAGGGCUCGCACGUACUGGCAUUCGCUGUUUAUUUACUUGAAUGAACAGAUGACGAUUGAGAUGUUUGCUUCGAAGCAUGGCUGCUCCACACUGGAAACUCCUGUAAAAACCGUUCUUAAUACAACUUCCAGGAUCGCACCCCACAUCUGGAGUAGGACGUGGAAACAGGCAUUUCAAAGCACUACCCAUUUUAUGAUUGGAUUUCCCAACUCUCGCUCCCCCAGUCGAGGAAUCCCUUUCCUUUUCUUGUGGAGACAUCUGCAUUCAUAAAAACACAACCCCAAAGAGGUGGUACAGUCAUCUGUUGUUGUAUCCUGUUCUGAUCAGACCACAGAGCACUGGUUUCCGUUCGAGGUGCCAUUUCCUGGGGGAGGGCGGGGGGAGUGUCGCCAGGCACCAGCAUUUCCAGAGAAGUUCAGGGGUGCCCGCUUCUCUCCUGGGUGAGGAUCUCAGGCUGCGGGCUUCUGUGAAUGUGGCGGGCAGUGUGGGCUGGCCCAGUAGCAGGACAGGGAUUCUUUCACCAGCCUCUGAGCAAUAUGGCCAGACGCGGAAGGCUAGAUGGCUUGGGGACCCCGUGAACUCUAGGGUGCUUGUUGGUGGGAGUGCAGGUGAUUUUUAGCGGCAGGCCCUGAGCUCUUGCUUUAGUCCUGUCUGGGGAAGAAGUGUUCCAGUAAUUUGAAUGGGACAAUGGGAGCCACACUUACCAAAUCUAUGGACGAUACCCUCUAAGAGGAAUAUCAAAUGCAUAGAACAGCAGGUCUCUAACAACCAUCCAGGAGGUCAGAACCAAGCUGCAGCUCCAAUUCGGCCCCUAGCCUGGGAACUUCCAUAUCCCAUGCGUGUGGCCCUAAAAAGAAAAAGGUCACGCCACUUCCGUUACGGUGAAAGGAGUAUCAGAGAUAACACAAGUGACCUACGUAUGUGAUUCCCAGACAUCAGUAUAAUGCCAUGAAUGUAACAGAAAAAGAAAAGUCGUUUUAGAACAAAAGGACCAUAGGAGAUAUAUUGUAGAACGAUUGGUUCUUCCAUCUUCCUUGUUUUGAAAAUAUGAAUUCGUGCCAGUGUGGCUGCUGUCUUUGAGUGUUUGUGUUUACUCAUGUGUGGUUUUGUCCACGAGAAACACAGGUGAACACAGAAUACCUCACGCAAGUGACUUCUGCCCAUAGGUUACGCAAAACGCCAGUGUGCACGCAAUUGAGACAUCAGCCAGCCCCCUCAGGUCACCUUGAGGUAGAAGCCACGUGGACCCAAAUCUGGCACAGCUUGCCUCCACGUCACAGUAACACAAGCUGCAGCCCUUCCGCUGCCCAGCCUUGUGCAGGCAAACCUCAGGUCUUUUCCAAGGUGACGCGGCCCUUCUCUUGUAAGACUUGUGUAUCCCUUGGCCUGUGUAACAUUUCCCAUGUGUAAAACUAUGCCACCUUUUUUAUUAGGUUCUUUUUAACAUGCGUCGAGGUUGAAGGUUUUUUUUUUUUCUUUCGGUUUUUAAAGUUUUCUCGAAGUAUAUGGAUUUACAGUGUCGUGGUAAUUUCUGUUGUACUCCAGGCAGAUCCGGCUACACAUGUACACACAUCCAUUCUUCUUCAGAUUCUUUGCCCAUGUAGGUUAUCGCAGAAUAUUGGGUAGAGUUCCCUGUGCUAUACAGCAGGUCCCCGUUGGCCAAUCGUUUCAUAUUCCACCGUGUGCAUGUGUCCUAAACCCCAGUCCAUCCCUCCCCUGACCUGUCCCCUUUGGGAGCCACAAGUUUUGUUUUCAAAGAUUUGAGUCUUGUGGUCCUCAUUCCAUUUUCCCCACAGGCCCUUUUUUGUUGUGUUUUGUUUUUGUUUUGCUUUCUAGGGCCUCACCCACGGCAUAUGGAAGUUCCCAGGCUAGGGCUCAAAUUGGAGCUGCAGCUACUGGCCACAGCCACAGCACUGCAGGAUCCAAGCUGCGCCUGUGACCUACACCACAGCUCACAGCAACGCCGGAUCCUUAACCUACCGAGCGAGGCCAGGGGUCAAACCCACAUCCUCGUGAAUACUGGUCGAAUUCGUUACUGCUGACCCACAGCAGAAACUCCCAGUCCUGUGUUUUUUUUAUCAUGUGAUUUUGUGCAGUGAGGUGACUCGUUAGGAAUGCAUAUAUUGUGUUCUGUCAGAACGAACUGUACUCAGAUGCUUGUCCCCGAUGCAGUGAGUUAGUUUGGAUUUUAUAGAUGUAAAACAAUCUUCAACUGAAUAGUGUUGAUACUUUUUCUUUCUAUUGGACAUUUUGAAAGAAGGGUGAGAUAAGUAUAUUAGCACUUAGGCAUAGAAUUGCCUUCAAUUCAGAUGCAGCUCAAAGCAUCUGAACUGUGCUGUGACUCACAUACCCAUGGUGACACUGUUACCAAUGAUACGAUUUUCUAAAACGGUGAAUAACUUCUGAAGUUUGGAACAAAACAAAGCAUCUCUCUUCUUUGAUUUAUGCAGUAGUUGCUUUCCUGGAAAAUUAGCAUUAACUCCAGGCCAAAAAAUAACUGUAUGCCUGAAGUGGAAUUUGAUUCCGUGUAGAUGGGUAUGAGCAGUUUUUCCUCUGUGGAAAUGGCGUGGGGUAAGUGAAAUAGUUGUCUUCUCCUCUGUAAGACGUGCAAGCCCCUGCCCAGCAAGUGACAGCCCAGAUUGCCCCCACAUGUGUCCACCACCUCUGGUGAACCGCUGGGCUAUUGCAGUGGACUUAGGAUAAGCUAGAAUUAGGGUCAGUGUAAGUUCUUCAUUUAGGCUGAGAAAACACCUGUACAGAAAACAGAAGGGGGAAAAAUGACUUAGCACAAGAAGGGGUGAGAAGAGUGUCAGAUGUUUGUUGACAGUAAGUGAAGUACGGAGAACUGGUUUCAUGUGACCUCCUCUCUGCUGGCUGCUCGGAAGGCGGGCAGUAACUAGACCCUUGCUGUGCAGUAGACAUACAAUGUUAGGCACACAUGUAACUUCACAUUUUCUAGUUGCCACAUUACAAAAAAGACAAAAACAGGAGUUCCCAUCUUGGCGCAGUGGAAGUGAGUCCAACUAGGAACCAUGAGAUUGUAGGUUCAAACCCUGGCCUUCCUCAGUGGGAUCCAGUGUUGCCAUGAGCUGUGGUGUAGGUCCCAGAUGCAGUUCAGAUCUGGCGUUGCUGUGGCUGUGCCUGUGGCCGGUGGCUACAGCUCUGAUUAGACCCCUAGCCUGGGAACCUC